rnacentral:rRNA from 1 species
UACGUAGGGUGCGAGCGUUUAAUCGGAAUUACUGGGCGUAAAGCGUGCGCAGGCGGCGCGUUUAAGACAGGUGUGAAAGCCCCGAGCUUAACUUGGGAAUUGCGCUUGUGACUGGCGUGCUGGAGUGUGGCAGAGGGAGGUGGAAUUCCACGUGUAGCAGUGAAAUGCGUAGAGAUGUGGAGGAACACCGAUGGCGAAGGCAGCCUCCUGGGCCAGCACGUGACGCUCAUGCACGAAAGCGUGGGGAGCAAACAGG